rnacentral:rRNA from 1 species
AGAGUUUGAUCCUGGCUCAGAGCGAGCGCUGGCGGCAUGCUUAACACAUGCAAGUCGCACGGGCAGGGUAACCUGUCAGUGGCGGACGGGUGAGUAACGCGUAGGUAUCUAUCCUGAGGUGGGGGACAACUGCGGGAAACUACAGCUAAUACCGCAUGAUGACUGAGGUCCAAAGGCGCAAGUCGCCUUGGGAGGAGCCUGCGUCCGAUUAGCUUGUUGGUGGGGUAAAGGCCUACCAAGGCUCCGAUCGGUAGCUGGUCUGAGAGGAUGAUCAGCCACACUGGGACUGAGACACGGCCCAGGCUCCUACGGGAGGCAGCAGUGGGGAAUAUUGGACAAUGGGCGAAAGCCUGAUCCAGCAAUGCCGCGUGUGUGAAGAAGGUCUUCGGAUUGUAAAGCACUUUCGGCGGGGACGAUGAUGACGGUACCCGCAGAAGAAGCCCCGGCUAACUUCGUGCCAGCAGCCGCGGUAAUACGAAGGGGGCUAGCGUUGCUCGGAUUGACUGGGCGUAAAGGGCGCGUAGGCGGCGGACACAGUCAGGCGUGAAAUUCCUGGGCUCAACCUGGGGGCUGCGUUUGAUACAUGUCUGCUUGAGUUCGGAAGAGGGUCGUGGAAUUCCCAGUGUAGAGGUGAAAUUCGUAGAUAUUGGGAAGAACACCGGUGGCGAAGGCGGCGACCUGGUCCGAUACUGACGCUGAGGCGCGAAAGCGUGGGGAGCAAACAGGAUUAGAUACCCUGGUAGUCCACGCCGUAAACGAUGUGCGCUGGAUGUUGGGGGGCCUAGCCCUUCAGUGUCGUAGCUAACGCGAUAAGCGCACC